UCUUUUAAUUGUUUUCCAGCAGCCGCGGUAAUACGUAGGUGGCGAGCGUUAUCCGGAAUCAUUGGGCGUAAAGAGGGAGCAGGCGGCCGCAAGGGUCUGUGGUGAAAGACCGAAGCUAAACUUCGGUAAGCCAUGGAAACCGGGCGGCUAGAGUGCGGAAGAGGAUCGUGGAAUUCCAUGUGUAGCGGUGAAAUGCGUAGAUAUAUGGAGGAACACCAGUGGCGAAGGCGACGGUCUGGGCCGCAACUGACGCUCAUUCCCGAAAGCGUGGGGAGCAAAUAGG
rnacentral:rRNA from 1 species